UUGGUAGUGGACUUGAAGCCUGGAAAUACCAUCCUGUGUGCAGAUGGUACAAUUACCCUUACUGUUUUGUCAUGUGAUCCAGCGGCGGGAACGGUGAGAUGUCGCUGCGAGAACACUGCCACCUUAGGAGAGAGGAAGAAUGUGAACCUUCCAGGUGUGGUUGUUGACCUUCCAACACUUACGGAGAAGGAUAAAGAAGAUAUACUAGAGUGGGGUGUUCCUAACAACAUCGAUAUGAUUGCUCUUUCAUUUGUGCGCAAGGGUUCAGAUCUUGUCAAUGUUCGCAAGGUUCUUGGUCCACAUGCCAAGCGCAUUCA
rnacentral:lncRNA from 1 species